rnacentral:rRNA from 1 species
AAGAUAUAAAUUAAUAAAAGUUAAAAAUAAUAAAAAUAAUUUUAAUAUUAGAAUUGGGGGGUUUUAGUAUUAAUUUAGAAAAAAUUAUUUAAUUUAUAGUUAAUUAGUAUUGUGAAAGAAUUUUGAAAUAGAAUUAAAAAUAAAUUUAUUUAAAAGUAAAAUUAAUUUUUUGUAUCUUGUGUAUCAGAGUUUAUUAAUUAAUAAUUUUAGGUAAAUUAUUUCUCGAAUUUAAAAGAGAUAAUUAAUUAAAAAAGUUAUUGUAGCAAAAAUAUUUUAAAUAAUUAAUUUGAAAUGAAAUGUUAAUCGUUUUUAAAUAUAUCUAGUUUUUUUAGAAAAAAAUUUAAUUUUUUUAUUUUUUUUUAUAAAAAAUUAAUUAAUUAAUUUUUUAUAAAAAAAUAAAAAUAUUUUAAGGGAUAAGCUUUAAAUUAAAUUAUUAUAAUUAUAAAAAAAAAAUUAAAUGAGAUUUAUAAAAUUUAUAUUGUUUAUAAUUUUUAAUUUAUUAUAAUUAAUCUUAUUAAAAUUAAAAUUUUUUAAAGAUUUAAUUUUUUAUAAAAAAAUAAUUUUAAAUAAUUUAAAAUAAAUUAUAAUGAUAAAAUUAGUAUUAAAAUUAUAAUAAUAAUAUUAAUUAUUAAAUAAAAUAAAUUAAAGGAAUUCGGCAAAUAAAAUAUUAUAUUCACUUGUUUAUCAAAAACAUGUCUUUUUGAUAAUAAUUAAAGUCUAAUCUGCCCACUGAUAAAUUAUUAAAGGGCUGCAGUAUAUUGACUGUACAAAGGUAGCAUAAUCAAUAGUCUCUUAAUUGGUGACUUGUAUGAAAGAUUGGAUGAAAUAUAAACUGUCUCUAUUUUAAUAAAAGAAAUUAAUUUUUUGAUUAAAAAGUCAAAAUAAGCUUAAAAGACGAGAAGACCCUAUAGAGUUUUAUAAAUUAAUAAAUUAAAAUUAUUUAUAAAAAUUAAAUUGAAAUUAUUAAAAUUUUUUUUGUUGGGGGGAUAAAAAAAUUAAAUAAACUUUUUUUUAAAAAUAAAAUAACAUAAAUAAGGGAAUAUUUGAUCCAAAAUUAUUUUGAUUAUAAGAAAAAAUUACCUUAGGGAUAACAGGGUAAUUUUUUUUUUUAGUUCUUAUAAAAAAAAAAGUUUGCGACCUCGAUGUUGGAUUAAGAUAAAAUUUAUAUGCAAAAGUAUAAAAUUUUGAUCUGUUCGAUCAUUAAAAUCUUACAUGAUCUGAGUUCAAACCGGUGUAAGCCAGGUUGGUUUCUAUCUUUAAUAAAAAAAAAUAUUUUAUUACAAAAGGAAUAAUUUUUUAAAUUAAAUUUUAAAAUAAAAAAUAUUAUUAAUAAUAAUAAAUAUAUAUAUAUAUAUAUAUAUACAUAUAAUU